UACGUAGGGUGCAAGCGUUAUCCGGAAUUAUUGGGCGUAAAGAGCUCGUAGGCGGUUUGUCGCGUCUGCUGUGAAAACCCGAGGCUCAACCUCGGGCCUGCAGUGGGUACGGGCAAACUAGAGUGCGGUAGGGGAGAUUGGAAUUCCUGGUGUAGCGGUGGAAUGCGCAGAUAUCAGGAGGAACACCGAUGGCGAAGGCAGAUCUCUGGGCCGUAACUGACGCUGAGGAGCGAAAGCGUGGGGAGCAAACAGG
rnacentral:rRNA from 1 species